rnacentral:lncRNA from 12 species
CCCUCACUCUCCCUCAAACACUCCUCCCAAAUAUCUCCCACUCUCCUUUCUGGGGACCUCUGGUGCAUAGAAUCGUGUUGCUCCUACUCCGUGUUGCUCCUACUCCCCAGUUUUCGACACAUCAAUGUCAUUUGCGCAUGCAAAGCCCUCCUUUUGCUUAUUUUCCCUACACUCACCUGUCCCCCCAUCUCACUUCCUCCCCUCCCCAGGUGGCCAUGAUAGUCUAGUCCUUUUCCUCCAACCCAUCUGCCAUAGAUUUAGAUUUUGUGUGCCCUAGAAAAAUAUUGGGUGUUAUUUUGUGUGUGGGCUUCCCGACUCAUUUGGGGCGCUGCGUGUAAUUUUCCGUGGGGCCGGUGUUCGGGCUUGUCCGUGGUGCCAUCAGAAACCUGGGUCGUUGACUCUCGCCACCGGGGUCCCUGUGGACCGUGCUCCCCGAGGUGGGCUCCCCGCGGCCUCGGGGUAACAACCCACCUCCUAACUACACAAGGAGACUGGUGGUGACCACACUCCUUAGCGGGAGUCGCUGCGCCAGCCAGUCGGUGCUUCUGCAUCUUGCCAGCCAGGGGGACCCCUGCCCUCUGCCCUCACCCACCUCCUUCCCACCCCGACUCCGAGCCCGCAGUGACCCGAGGCCCCAGGGCAGCAGGGAAGGCCGCGGAGGGCAGAUGCGUCCAGAAGCCGCGCUCCCCGGUGCUGAACCGGGGCCUCCGUUUCCCCCUCCUGGGAAGUAGGAGCAACCAAUGCAGGUCGGUUGGUGGCCACGGGGGAGACCACAGGGUGGGAGCAAGGGCCCCGGAAUCGGAAAGGGGGGCGGGGUCCGGGUCGCCCUGGGACGCCGACCUGGGUCCUGGGGUCAAGCAGCCCGAGCAGUGGGCCGUGGGGGACAGCGGGGGGGCUCCGGCCCCGAGCAGUGGGCGGCGGAGGACAGCGGGGAGGCCCCGGGUCGCCCUGGGACCCCGACCUGGUUCCUGGGGUCGAGCAGCCCGAGCAGUGGGCCGUGGGGGACAGCGGGGAGGCCCCGGAACGCCCUGGGACGCCGACCUGGGCUCCGGCCCCGAGCAGUGGGCGGCGGGGGACAGCGGGGAGGCCCCGGGACGCCCUGGGACCCCGACCUGGGUCCUGGGGUCGAGCAGCCCGAGCAGUGGGCCGCGGGGGACAGCGGGGAGGCCCCGGAACGCCCUGGGACGCCGACCUGGGCUCCGGCCCCGAGCAGUGGGCGGCGGGGGACAGCGGGGAGGCCCCGGGACGCCCUGGGACCCCGACCUGGGCUCCGGCCCCAAGCAGUGGGCCGCGGGGGACAGCGGGGAGGCCCCGGGACGCCCUGGGACCCCGACCUGGGCUCCGGCCCCAAGCAGUGGGCCGCGGGGGACAGCGGGGAGGCCCCGGGACGCCCUGGGACGCCGACCUGGGUCCUGGGGCCGAGCAGCCCGAGCAGUGGGGGACAGCGGGGAGGCCCCGGGACGCCCCGAGCAGCGAGUGGCUCGGCGGGACCUGCUCCGGGGCGGGCGCUCCGCGGCCACCCGCGCAUCGGCCCUCGGGCCGCCCGGGCCCUGGAGGAUCAGCCCCUGUCGCCCGCGCCACGUGCCUCUCGGGCUUAUUAUUCGGUCGGUUCACCCCACUGACCACGAGAUGGUGCUGUCUUUCUGGGAAAUCUUUGGCGUUCGUCAAACAGGCAACAAUCUCUUUUCCCUCUGGGCCUGCAAGAAUACAUUUGAAUUUAACAAUCCUCGCGGCAUCUCAUUAGGCCAGAAGUCGUGCCCUUGGGUCGGGCGACUCUUUUCCCUUGUGCUUAGAAACCGUAUUGGGGUGGGGGGUGGGGGGUGCGCCUGGGGGGAUCCGUUGAUCAAGCAUCCGUCUUGGGCUCAGGUCAUCAUCCCAAGGUCCUGGGAUCAGCCCUGGGAUGGAGCCCCGCGUCAGGUUUCCUGCUUAUUAGGGAGUCUGCUUCUCUCUCUUCCCCUGCCCCUUCCCCACUGCUUGUUCUCUUUCAAAUAAAUAAAAUCUUAAAAAACA